CAACCGAUUGGUGGAUGAUUGCUCGUAGACAGUAUAUAAAAGACCAUCAUCUUGAGUCGAGCGUCAUCUGCCGAAUCAAAAUGGGAAAGGUUCUCGUUGCUUUGAUUCUUCUUGCUUGCUUGGUAGCUAUCUCCUCGGCAUACUUGAGUGGCAGCCAUUGCAGUUAUCGGCGUUGCAAUCCCUGGGUUCAAUAUCCUCAAUGUGGCUAUUUUGAAUACUGUACCUAUUAUGGAUACUGUUGUAGCUACUAUGGACACGGAGGAGGCCAUCGGCAAUACUAAGUCGAACAAAACCAGACAUCUGAAACAUGACAACAAACAGGUUGGACUGCUGACUCAGUCCCAUCUCCUUUUGAUCUUUUAUCAAAUCAUUAAAACAAUGUAAUCAAACUUGACAUACAAUAAUAAAAUGAUAUCACUUUC